rnacentral:hammerhead_ribozyme from 1 species
AUCAAGCUGACGAGUCCAAAAUGGAACGAAGCGCGCGUCCUGGAU